AUCCCCCCCCACCUUUGUUUUCCUUACCUUAAACAUUGAAACGCGGGCGUCGGGAGCAAACUCGGGCACGUAAACGGAGCGUUGUAAAAGAUUGUGUUCAAUGAAUAAUGAAACAUGUCCACAUGAUUGACUUGAUCAUUUUCCGGGGCUGAGGGGGGACGGGCGCCCAGCUCGCGCGCCUCGCUCGCCCACUCGGCAGAGCCCUGCGAACUGUUCCCAGCCCAGCCCGGGCAGGGCAGGCUCGGUUUUCAUCAGCCUCUUUUCAGAAUCGCCCCGUUCAUUGAUACUCAUCACCCAUCCCCAGUAGACAUCCCCAUCUCCGGCUCGGCCUCCCCCUAUCUGAGAUUGAGACCCCGUAUAUUUAGUUCCUGA
rnacentral:lncRNA from 1 species